GACUGAGACACGGCCCAGACUCCUACGGGAGGCAGCAGUGGGGAAUAUUGCACAAUGGGGGAAACCCUGAUGCAGCGACGCAGCGUGCGGGAUGACGGCCUUCGGGUUGUAAACCGCUUUCAGCAGGGAAGAAGCGAAAGUGACGGUACCUGCAGAAGAAGUACCGGCUAACUACGUGCCAGCAGCCGCGGUAAUACGUAGGGUACGAGCGUUGUCCGGAAUUAUUGGGCGUAAAGAGCUCGUAGGUGGUUGGUCACGUCUGCUGUGGAAACGCAACGCUUAACGUUGCGCGUGCAGUGGGUACGGGCUGACUAGAGUGCAGUAGGGGAGUCUGGAAUUCCUGGUGUAGCGGUGAAAUGCGCAGAUAUCAGGAGGAACACCGGUGGCGAAGGCGGGACUCUGGGCUGUAACUGACACUGAGGAGCGAAAGCAUGGGGAGCGAACAGGAUUAGAUACCCUGGUAGUCCAUGCCGUAAACGUUGGGCACUAGGUGUGGGGGACAUUCCACGUUCUCCGCGCCGUAGCUAACGCAUUAAGUGCCCCGCCUGG
rnacentral:rRNA from 1 species